GAUGAACGCUGGCGGCGUGCUUAACACAUGCAAGUCGAACGGUGAAGGCGGAGCUUGCUCUGCUGGAUCAGUGGCGAACGGGUGAGUAACACGUGAGCAAUCUGCCCCUGACUCUGGGAUAAGCGCUGGAAACGGCGUCUAAUACUGGAUACGAGCUGCGAAGGCAUCUUCAGCAGCUGGAAAGAACUUCGGUCAGGGAUGAGCUCGCGGCCUAUCAGCUUGUUGGUGAGGUAACGGCUCACCAAGGCGUCGACGGGUAGCCGGCCUGAGAGGCUGACCGGCCACACUGGGACUGCGACACGGCCCAGACUCCUACGGGAGGCAGCAGUGGGGAAUAUUGCACAAUGGGCGAAAGCCUGAUGCAGCAACGCCGCGUGAGGGACGACGGCCUUCGGGUUGUAAACCUCUUUUAGCAGGGAAGAAGCGAAAGUGACGGUACCUGCAGAAAAAGCGCCGGCUAACUACGUG
rnacentral:rRNA from 1 species